UUUUACCCUNGGGAUAANAGCGCAANUCUACUUCAAGAGUCCCUAUCGACAAGUGGGUUUACGACCUCGAUGUUGGAUCAGGGUAUCCCAGUGGUGCAGCCGCUACUAAUGGUUCGUUUGUUCAACGAUUAAAACCCUACGUGAUCUGAGUUCAGACCGGAGUAAUCCAGGUCGGUUUCUAUCUAUAUCANGAGCUUAUUCCAGUACGAAAGGACCGAAAAAGCGUGGCCUAUACCUAAAGCAAGCCAUCACUAUAAACCUAUGACCCCAACUUAAUUAACUAAUAGUCUCUCAUACCCCCCUCAAGACCAGAGGA
rnacentral:rRNA from 1 species